CUACGGGUGGCACCAGUGGGGAAUAUUGCACAAUGGGCGCAAGCCUGAUGCAGCCAUGCCGCGUGUAUGAAGAAGGCCUUCGGGUUGUAAAGUACUUUCAGCGGGGAGGAAGGGAGUAAAGUUAAUACCUUUGAUCCUUGACGUUACCCGCAGAAGAAGCACCGGCUAACUCCGUGCCAGCAGCCGCGGUAAUACGGAGGGUGCAAGCGUUAAUCGGAAUUACUGGGCGUAAAGCGCACGCAGGCGGUUUGUUAAGUCAGAUGUGAAAUCCCCGGGCUCAACCUGGGAACUGCAUCUGAUACUGGCAAGCUUGAGUCUCGUAGAGGGGGGUAGAAUUCCAGGUGUAGCGGUGAAAUGCGUAGAGAUCUGGAGGAAUACCGGUGGCGAAGGCGGCCCCCUGGACGAAGACUGACGCUCAGGUGCGAAAGCGUGGGGAGCAAACAGGAUUAGAUACCCGCGUAGUC
rnacentral:rRNA from 1 species